AGGUGCUUAAAGGGCCCGCGCUACUGGUGGUCUCCAGCCUGCGAGCUCCUUCUACGGUGCCAGAAAAGAAUUGGAGUUACAAGCGCUUCUAGGCACCGCCUGGGCAGGUUGGGCGUGAGCUCCGUCUCACCCCGAGCUGGGCACCUUGGCGUCCCUGCCCUAAAGGGCCCGCGGUGCUGCCCUCGGUGCUCGGCUCAGUGUUGGGCUCGCACGGACCCAGGUCCCGCCGCCAGACAGCUUGCCAGGCCUCAGGAUCUGUGUUUCCUGAUCACCCUCCCCCGGGGCGCCUAGGAAGAAGGCGGGGAGCAGGGCCUCUGCCUCUGCUACCGCUCUGAAUCCUGGUGGUGGGAAUGCUUAUUUGCUGUACUGGAGAUAGAACCAAGUUCUUUGCACCGAUCAGUACCUGCAGCCCUCUUUCUUAAUUUUUUAUUUCGAGACAAGGUCUCACCAAGUGUGAGUUGCCCAGACUGAUCUCAAACUUAAGAUCUUCCUGCUCCAGCCUCCCAGAGCGCUUUCGGUUUAUUUUGCUGUUUUUAAUUUAAAACAUUUAUGUGUAAUUACUUCAUGCUUUAGGUCAGGUUUAAAUGGUAGGAAAUUUGAAAUGUACAGUACUAGUUUAGUUUUAAAUCUCCUAAAUGCACUUCUUCAUUCUCUUUUCCUUCUUUUCCCUUUCCUUCUUUCCCUUUCUCCCUUCUUUUUUCUUCCGCUUUGAAAACAUAGGGUUUGAGCGUUUAUUAUGUGCCCAGCAUUAGGCUACAGUGCUAGGCCCUAGAGAAUGAAAUGAGGAUUCAAGAAUUAAGCGGUUAGGGCCUGGGCUUUAGCUCAGAGGCAUAAAUGCCUGCCCAGCAAGCAGGCAAGGUUUGUGAGUUUGAUCCCCGGUACCAAAAAAAAAAAAAAAAAAACGCUUCGGUGGAGUAAGAAAAAAAACAGUACUAUUUGAUAUGUGUUACAACAGAAAUACCUACUAGUUAAGAUAGUUUGACAAAAAAAAAAAAAGAUAGUUUGACAUGUUUUGUUUUGAAAUAAGUGCUUGCUGUGUUUCCCAGCCUGGCCUCAAACUCCUGGGCUCAAAUUUUUCUCCUGCCUCAGCCUCUCCAGCCGUUGGGACUAUUGGAAUAUUAGCAAAACCUUUGGCUUGUUAAGAACUUGUUCUAAUACAGAGCUCGACCUCCCGCUAGGGCAUGGGCUUUGACACAAAUACUCCCCAAACAGUACUUGGGACCAUGUGCCUGGUGUACAGCCAGCGCGGCCCCAUGGCCUCAUCCCAAAAUGAGAUUUAGGAAAGGUUAUCAAUGGAGGAGUCAGUCAAAUUCAAGUCAAAGAUCCAAGUAUCUGUUACACUUUCUAUCUUGUGGUAACUGACAGCAACUUUGCAGUUUUUUCUAUUUUGACUUUCAGAAUGUUCCAAUUUGAUUUUUUUUAAUUUUGAGGGGGUUUGGGGUUUUUUGUGGUUUUUUUUUGGGGGGGGGUGCUGGUACCAGGAAUUGAACUCAUGACCUUGCACUUGCCAAUCCAAUGUGAUUUUUAAAAUAUAACUCAUUUUGCACUUCUGGUUUCCUGAAACUAGGACCGAAUCAUGUUUCCCCACUGACCACAAGGGUAUUGCUGAUCUUCGUAUUUGUGUCCAUAUGCAUGAGGAUUUUGAACAAUCUACUUUGAAAAUGCUUAUGCUGUGCUGAUUAAUCCCAUUAUAAAAUCUAUUUUUAUAAUUUAAUGAUUACCACUGCUCUCUCCCUAUGAUUAAAAAGAAUGAAAAGUGAAAGUAAAAGAGAAAUAACGUUGGCUCUUGUACUCCCGCUGUGCUGAACAGUGCACUGUCCGGACCCUGACCUUUCCCUGCUGAGCCUGUGCUUGCACGCCGGGUGUCCUGCGCCCGCUGCCCACAGCGAUUCCUGCUUUAUGCUUUGUGAGCGCCUGCCUCCCAGCGUGUCCAACGCCCAAUUCCUCACAUAGAAAUGUUUAUAGGGAUUCUGUGGCGUUCUUAGGAAGGCACAGCUCAUGAACAGCACUGUCCAGCAUGGUGAAGGAGCAAAAACACAGGAAAGGCUGACCUGAGCAUGAGCAAAAGACCUCAGAGUGUGAGGGCCCUGCCUUGGCCUUGGUGCCUUUCAUCCCUCAGGUUUUGUAGACACCUGAUUGCCCUAAUAAGGUGGCUCUACUUAGUGACACCUUCCACAGAGACCAGCCUGACUCCAGUGUCUGAAACGUGAUGAUAUGAAACACGGAUACUUUACCUGGUGUGGAGAUCAACCUGGGCACCAGAGAUCGCACUCUGCCGACUGGGUCAGGCUGCCAACCGAGGAUCCUCCUCCCUCAUCCCCGAAUUCUGUGUUUGCUGCAAUGCAGGCUUCAAAGCACAAGUUCUUGAAGAUUAAGUUUAUCUUCUGCAUGUUAUGGAAAAGACAGUCGUGAAGAUUCCCAGGAGACAUCUGGAACAGAAAUAAGUUCCUUUGAACAUGUAUCAAAACAUUGAAAAAUUUUUGAAUUUUAAAAAUGUUAUUAGUACUUGUUUGCAGCACAUAAUUACAUUCCUCAUGGGUAGAACUAUUUUUAGCUCCAAGUACAGGCUAGGGAAACCUCCCAUUAAAUUGGAGAGAUGGUGGAGAGAUCAGUUAGAGCCCGCUCCUCCGGGGAAGUAGCCUCGGGCCAGGCCAAGGGGCGGAUCCGUGCAUUCCAGGCAGGGAGGGACUGCUGAUAACUAUGGAAUGGCCAUUCCAGGGACACAGUGCUGGACUCUGGCCUCUGGAGGAGGACAAGGAGGAUGUGUGAAUGUGAACCUAGGAAGGAAUUUUAACCCUGCUCCAGGCUCAGUUCAGAGGCUCUGGCUGAAAGGGAGGAAUGCAAGAAGCGUGAUCCCAGCACCAGGGAGGCUGAGACAGGAGAACUCCAGAAGUUCGAUGCCAGCCCAGCUAAUAGUGAGACCUGUCUGAAAAAACAGAAACAAAAUCAAUAUUCAAGUGAAAGCUCCCCAGUGGUGUGGGUGGUGCCUUGUGGCCCUUAGGCUUCAACUUCUGUACAGCUGUCCCUAAUUUGGGAAGUAUCCCCUUCCCCAUUUCACCUGAGUGAUCGUAAAAUACCCAGUCCAGGCCCAGUGAAGGCCAAAUCAACACUUCCAGCCAACAGGACAGGAUCUCAUUUUGAUGUCUGAGUAAUAUUCCCCCAAGCAUUAAAUGUUUAUAUAUAUCACA